ACCGGGGUAGAGGUGUAUCAAAACCACAGAGAGUUCCUCAGACAGCCCCGCCCCUCACAACUAGCCCUGUUGGAAGUGUGUCAGUGUGUGUGCGAGGGAAGCGAUGGGGGAGCGGGGGGUUAUUUAUAGCAUUCCAUGGGUAUGCCAUCCACUAGGACUGUCGUGAAGGGUAUACAGAGGAAGACGGUGAAUAAGGGUUUUUUAAGCCUUAUAGCUGGAUCAAAAGAAAUGGAGGAAGAGUUCAGCGAAGAGCUGAAUGAGUUCCUUUGUUUAAACAAAAGAAAGUUGCAAUGACAGACGCGGUCUUCCCCUCGUAAAUGCGGUAAGAUGUAGUUGUGAAAGCGGUCCAGGAGUGCGUUCAUGUCCAUUAAACACGCUAUCGCCUGCAAAGAACCAUUCGAGUCAACCGGGACAUGACAAGCAGUAUUGGAACACAGCAACCGCUACAUGACCUGGUCAUCAAGAACAUGCCACGAUGUCCCCCACAUUCAGCAGCAACACAUUUCAGCACCCUGGAGAGCAGCACAGUGAAGAUUUACUGCUGACCACCAUCAAACUCUCUCU